AAAAUGCACUCAGCCACAGGCAUCAGGAUGUAAAGACAAUCUUUAAAAAUAACUUUGAAAAUAAUUCCUCUCAAAAUAUAUAAUUCUCACCUUGCCUUCAAGGAAAUACUUUCUACAAGAUUUCAGAAGACCAUAAACCUUUUGAAUGGAUUAGAGUUUACAUUACUACUUCCCUGAAAAUAUUUUGCUUUCAUCUUUUCAUUGUCAUAUUAAAACUGAGAAUUCCUGCUUUUCCCAAAGUUGCUAACACUGUUUGAAAAGAAGCAGGUCUGCAAGAGCCUCACAACAAUCAACUCCCAUGUAUCACCAUGAAUGCCUUCAGUUGACAUCAAAACCAAUUGGGCACUGAAGGUUGUAGAAAUGGAAGAACCAGAUUUUAUUUCAGUAAGAUUAUUAGACAAGGCAUUGCAUGUCAUGGCACAUUAAGGCACAAUUUAGAAUUAAUUUUCAGAAGCUUUAGAGAACUGCUAAGAGCACCUAAUGUUUGAAUACUGGAGCAAUGCCAGGACCUGGAUGUUGUCCCUCACUUCAACUUGGAAGAAUAACAGGACAUGCCUCUGCCAUCCCUAGCGUAUGAUGAAGCCUCUGACUCCAUGUAAGAAAUUGAACCUACGUAGAAUCUUGAAGCUUUUACAGAGU